rnacentral:rRNA from 1 species
GUGGGGAAUAUUGGACAAUGGGCGCAAGCCUGAUCCAGCCAUGCCGCGUGAGUGAUGAAGGCCCUAGGGUUGUAAAGCUCUUUCACCGGUGAAGAUAAUGACGGUAACCGGAGAAGAAGCCCCGGCUAACUUCGUGCCAGCAGCCGCGGUAAUACGAAGGGGGCUAGCGUUGUUCGGAAUUACUGGGCGUAAAGCGCACGUAGGCGGACAUUUAAGUCAGGGGUGAAAUCCCGGGGCUCAACCCCGGAACUGCCUUUGAUACUGGGUGUCUGGAGUAUGGAAGAGGUAAGUGGAAGUCCGAGUGUAGAGGUGAAAUUCGUAGAUAUUCGGAGGAACACCAGUGGCGAAGGCGGCUUACUGGUCCAUUACUGACGCUGAGGUGCGAAAGCGUGGGGAGCAAACAGGAUUAGAAACCCUUGUAGUCC